rnacentral:rRNA from 1 species
GACGUAGGGCGCGAGCGUUGUCCGGAUUUAUUGGGCGUAAAGAGCUCGUAGGCGGUGUGUCACGUCGGCCGUGAAAACCUGCAGCUUAACUGUGGGCGUGCGGUCGAUACGGGCAUCACUGGAGUUCGGCAGGGGGAGACUGGAAUUCCUGGUGUAGCGGUGAAAUGCGCAGAUAUCAGGAGGAACACCGGUGGCGAAGGCGGGUCUCUGGGCCGAUACUGACGCUGAGGAGCGAAAGCGUGGGGGAGCGAACAGG